rnacentral:snoRNA from 1 species
CUGGAAUGAUGAGAAUUCCACUUCAUUGGUCCGUGUUUCUGAAACACAUGAUUUUGUGGAAGUUCUGACUUG